rnacentral:lncRNA from 1 species
GCCGAUAAAACUUUAAUUGAAAACAUAUCACUUGGAAAUGUUAAAUAAAUGAUGUAAUCUGAACUCAUUGUUUCUCUGAUGCCUCUGAAACUACCUUUCUCAGGAACAUAAACUAAAAGGUUGAAUUUAAUUUUGCCUUACCCAAAGCACUAAAUAUGAAUUCUGUUUUCAAAAAGAUAUAUCCAAAAGGAAUAUAGAUUUUUAAAGGUAAUAUGUGUGUCACUUUUCAUUCUUCUCAAGCAAAUUAUUAAAAUGUGAACAUUUGGAGUUAAAAGACACAAUGAGUGAAGAAAAUUGUCACCGACAGAGCAUAUGGUAUUUGGUGUAACAUUAUGCAGAAGCCAGAGAGAGCUAUGAACCAUGUUUCUCUUUCCCAUGUCCACGGAAAUGCCAAAGUACACUGGAGCUAUCGAGGAUGUUGACUUUUUCCCGUAAAUGUUUAACUUCUUCUGGAAACCACAGAAACUUAAGUGAUUUAGAGUGUGACUUUCAUGAACAGAAAUAGUCUCCAUAAUCUAAUCUCCAGAAUGCACUAAACCAGGAGAAGAUCCACCUGGGAUAAUUUCGUUGUCAAAGGAAUGGAAGAAUAUUAAGGAGAACAAGUCCUCAUCUCUCCAAAGACCCUUCAUCCUUCAUUUCACAAUAGUCUUUAUUGGUCUGCUGGAGUUUGCUGGAGGUCCACUCCAGACCCUGUUUGCCUGGGUAUCACCGGCAGAGGCUGCAGAGCAGCAAAGAUUGCUGCCUGCUCCUUCCUCUGGAAGCUUCAUCCCAAAGGGGCACCCGCCUGAUGCCAGCCAGAGCUCUCCUGUACGAGAGAUGCCCUGCCCAGUGAGGAGGAAUCUAGAGAAGCAGUCUGGCCAUAGCUUUGCUGCACUGCGAUGUUACCUUUUUGACAUAACCAAGUAAACCAACAGGCUUGAAGACACACCGAUCAUAAAAAUGAAUCUAAGAACCCAGGUGUAAUCUUCUGAUUUCUAGGUCCCAGCGCUUCUCAUUUUUAAGCAGAGUUUCAUAGAAAUACUCUAUUCAAACAAACAAACAAAAAAAACAGAAAAGCCACAGACCUCUGUAACAUUUAAGCAGAGGUGUCCUCUUAGUAAAAUGUAAAAUACAUGUGUGAAAUCUGUUUCCAACAAGCUCUUAUGUUAUUUUUAGUGGCCCUUCUCAUCACCUGUGGUGUUUUGUUUUGCCCUCCCUCAACCCAUUUCUAUUGCCCCCAUCCAUACUUUAGCCAACACCAUUCUCUGAUAUGCUGGGUUGCCUGAGUGCCUCACCAUGUCUACCUAGCCCAUGUGUCUCUCUGUCCCCAUCCACAGGGGUAACACCAUCUUGCAGAGAGCAAACACUCUAAGAAGGCCUGAUGGACUCAUCUGCCUGAAAGUGGUCAUAAUGACUGGCACCAUAACCCAUUCUGAGUGUCCAUGGAGUAAUAUAGAGAUGAUAGUAGUUUGCCUCAUGGAAUCUUAAGAAAUAACAUUGUUAUCAUGAUUCUUGCAGCAUUAUGAGUAUUGGCAAGGUGUCCCUGCAAUAGGUUAAAGGUGUGCACUCAAUUU